GGAGUUAGCCGGUGCUUCUUCUGUGAGUGAUGUCCUUCCUGCCGGCUAUUAACCCGCAGGCCUUCUUCCUCACUGAAAGUGCUUUACAACCCGAAGGCAUUCUUCACACACGCGGCAUGGCUGGAUCAGGGUUGCCCCCAUUGUCCAAUAUUCCCCACUGCUGCCUCCCGUAGGAGUCUGGGCCGUGUCUCAGUCCCAGUGUGGCUGAUCAUCCUCUCAGACCAGCUACGGAUCGUCGCCUUGGUGAGCCGUUACCUCACCAACCAGCUAAUCCGACAUAGGCUCAUCCGAUAGCGCGAGGCCCGAAGGUCCCCCGCUUUCCCCCGUAGGGCGUAUGCGGUAUUAGCCUGGGUUUCCCCAGGUUAUCCCCCACUACCGGGCAGAUUCCUAUGCAUUACUCACCCGUCCGCCGCUCGCCACCAGGGAGCAAGCUCCCCGUGCUGCCGCUCGACUUGCAUGUGUUAGGCCUGCCGCCAGCGUUCAAUCUGAGCCAUGAUCAAACUCUGA
rnacentral:rRNA from 1 species